rnacentral:tRNA from 1 species
GGAAGGGUGGCCGAGUGGUUUAAGGCACCGGUCUUGAAAACCGGCAGUGGGGUAACUCACUCGUGGGUUCGAAUCCCACCCCUUCCGCCA